ACAUGAGAACAUUGGCAAGAGUGGGGACAUGGAAGCUGUGUUCAGGCCGGUCCACGCUGGGUGACCCAUGUGACCUGCUGCUUAGCAAUUCCUUGUCACCAUCUUCCCUUCUCAGCCUCUUUUUUCAUGCUAACAGGCAUAAAUGAAAUGAUAAAAGUUUGAGCUCUUCUCGUGGAAUUCUCGUGAUACAGAUAUGUGCUACAUGUUCAUCAUCUCGUUGGUCUUCACCAUGAUAACUGUGGAGUAAGAAUUAUAAGCAGGUCACAGAUUAGGGACUUGAGAUUGACAGUUUGGCUUCCCUGUUCUGGGUGGCAAAGCCUGUGGAGUACUCACCUACCUGCUGCAUGAAGGCAGCAUGGAGGGACUGUGGUGGAUUAUCUGCAAAGAUGGCCAAAAUUCUCUCAUCCCUGCAGGCACAUACAAGGUUGUUGCAUGGCAUAAGUAAAGUGACAGUUAUAGGAUACAUGCAACUUUUCAGUGACAAAGAUCUGUGCAGCAUCGACAGUACUGCCUAAUGAGGUUUCACCAUAAUGAAGUAUCACAACCAGUUUACAGACCAGAAAACUGAGACACAGGAAGGGGUGGUGACUUGAGCAAGGUGCAUCAGCUGCCAGGUUUCCAGAAGUUCCCCAGUCAUUGAGCAUUUCUGAGGCUCUUGAUGCAUAUGCCAAGUAGUUAUGGAGAAAGACACAGCAGCUUACCUCUGCAGGCAUCAUUGUGUGAAAGGAAGACCCAGGCUCUCUCACCACCCUUGAACAGAAGCCUUUUGCUAAGGUGAUAGCUACAUGUCCAAGCCUAUUGCGUGGCAUGCAUUUUGCCUUCUGCAGCCCACUAAAGGAAAUUGAAGUAUACAGAAUGCUUAUUUGGUCUACUCAGUAUCAUCCUAAAUGUAUGUACCAAUGCUUAGGAGUUUGCAGUUCACCCGCAAACCUCAGCGAUCCAAGCUCCCCUGGAUGACCAUCACUCACCAAGAAAAGAGCAAUAACAGGACCUGUUUUGCUAAUCCAGGACUGUUCUCCAGCACUAACUCUAAAUAAUCCCUUCUGCUAGAGUCCACUUUCUGGAACCUGUUGCCUCCGUUUUCAACGUUUCCCAAACUUGGUCCGUUGUGUGAGCUGGCUGAUAAAAGUUCCAGGUAACCUUCCUUGUUCUCAAGGUCCAUUUUCCAGGAAAAUCUGAGUCAUGGUGCUGGGGAGGACACUUAAGUACAUCAGUCAAUCAGAUGAUUAUUAAAUUUAGGAAAUAGUAGAUCAACUGGAUUAACUGGAUUAAAAUGCAGAAUCCCAGGCCCCAGCCCAGACCUACUGAACCAGCAUCUGCUCUUUAACAAGAGCCCCAUGUGAUGUGUGGGACAGAAAACUUUGUGAAGCACAGGGCUAGACAGUCUCUAAAGUCUUCUGCAGAUCAGAAACGCAGCAAUUCUGAGGUUUUCUUCAAUUUUCUAAUGUUAUUUCCAGCUCUUUCCCCUCUCUUCUUUCCUUGAUAUGCUGAGGAAAACUUUCUCUGUGAUAAGCAGAGUAGGUGUCUUGUUCUGUGAAUUUC
ensembl:lncRNA MIR7515HG MIR7515 host gene